UAGGAAGAGUGGGGUGGUCGGUCAGGAGGAUAAUUAUAAGGUUUCUUUUAUUUUCUUGCUCCUUUCAAAUGUGUAUUUUACGUUAAAAAUGGAUUUGAAGCGCGGUUACAAAAAACGAGACGUUUUUGUAAAUUUUCAAAAAU
ensembl:ncRNA B0273.113 ncRNA